rnacentral:rRNA from 1 species
CAGUAGCCGCGGUAAUACGAAGGGUGCAAGCGUUAAUCGGAAUUACUGGGCGUAAAGCGUGCGUAGGCGGUGAGUUAAGUCUGCUGUGAAAUCCCCGGGCUCAACCUGGGAAUGGCAGUGGAUACUGGCUCGCUAGAGUGUGUCAGAGGAUGGUGGAAUUCCCGGUGUAGCGGUGAAAUGCGUAGAGAUCGGGAGGAACAUCAGUGGCGAAGGCGGCCAUCUGGGACAACACUGACGCUGGGGCACGAAAGCGUGGGGAGCAAACAGGAUUAGAGACCCCCGUAGUCCCUGUCUCUUAUAC